rnacentral:lncRNA from 1 species
UUGCAUAGUGAAUAACCUCCAGGGGAGUAAAGGUUGUGGUGAGAAGGUUCAUUAGUAGAUUGGAAGCUGACAAGAGAAUGCAAUGACAUCCUCAGCCAUAGUCUGGUGGGAAUGUUGAGAAGUGCUGAGACUCUAGAUUUGUUUUGAAAGUAGGGCUGGGAAAAUGUACUUCACAUUGAGUGUAAGGUGUAAGACAGGAACUAGAAAUGGCAUAAUAGUUUUCGCACAUGGGUGGAUUUACUGUCACCUGAAAUGGGGAACACUGUGGGAGAGCAGGAUAGGAGAGGGUCUGUUUAAACACUCUUAUUUGAGAUGCCUAAAGUUAUAGAAAUGGAGGUAAUGAGUUGGUAGUUGGAAAUAUGGGUCUGAAGUUUGAAUAAAUUUGUGAAAAGGACAUACACUUUCGGGAAUCAUCAGUGUAUAGUAAGUAUACAGAAGCCAUUAGCUUGGAUACUAUCAUCAGGGGUAGGUAAGGUAUAUAAAAGUUUUGGGGACUCAGUGCCAGGUCACUCUAAGAGUGGAUGUAACAGAAGGAAUUAAGAAAUGAGGCCAUGAGGAAGUUUCAAGUUAAGUAGGAGAAAAUCAGGACAAUGAGACCAUGAUGAAAUUCCAAGUUACAUAGGAAAAGUCCAGGACUGCAUAAGGCAAAUUGAGAAAGUGAUUCAGGGAGGCAGAGAUGAUCAAUUUUGUCACAUGUUGCUGAGUCAAGAAGAGGAUAGAAAAUUAAGUGUCUCUUCAGUUAUGUAGUGCUCACCUAUUGCCUUAACUAGAGACAUUGUGGUGGAGUGGUUGAGGCAAAGAAAAUAGUAAAAUACAUGAGGAAUUUUACAUAGAUACAUUUUAUGAUUCUUAUAAGUAUCCGUAUGGAUAAUAGCACUGUGUUAUAAAUGUGUUUUUAUAGAUAAACAACUAUACCUGGAGAGUGGUAAAACUUAGAUUAAUUCCAAACUGGAGAGAGGGUUGUAGUGAUUGGUUAUGAGGCUUUGUACUGUACUCUGUCAUGUAAACUUUCAUAAAACAUGGAUAAAAUCAUGGAACAAUAUGUACCAAAGAGGAGAAACACACAAACCCAAGAGGACUAGCAAAUAUAGUGAAUGGCAAGAUACGAUGUGAAAAAAUUUUGAAAACAUGCAAUAGGGCAAAAUUUGAAAGGUUAAAUUUAGCAUGAACAGAUGUCAGAUCCUACAUUAAUUUUAAAAAUCUUAUUUUCAUAGAGCCUAAUUAUAAUUCAUCAAAAGAAUGAAAGGCUUACUAGAUUAUAAACUCCAUAAAGUUUUGAAGUAUUAGGUUGUACUAAAGGAAUUACACAGAAUUGGGAAAGGGGAUUUCUUUUAGAACUUGGAAAAAAUACACCACUGGUAGAAAAUUAAAUGUUGUUCUUAGACAGGAUUUAAAAGAGUUCUUAGCAAACUGAAGUAUGUCCAUAAAUGGCAGGUUUGACUAAUUAAGAGACCAUAUCAAUCUUAUGUUUUUAUACUCAUUAGUAACCUGAGUUUUUUGAAUUAACAAAAAUUAACUGACAAAAAUCCAUUUUCACAUACUUGAGGGGAAUGUUGACUUACGUGGCCCAUUUCAAGACUUCCACAUAUCUCAGACCAUAUGACAGGCAAAUAUUUUUACCAGACAUUUCCAGGAGGGGGGAUAGACUAUACUGAAUUUCUGAAAGUAAUAAUGUCAGAAACGUUUCAUUUUUUUUCCUGUGGACCAUCUCAUGGAACUAAUGUUCUAUAGAAAAGGGCCUGGUAGAUGGCAUGUGAAAAAUAAAGACUAAUAUGCAUAUUCCAAACAAAAGAAUGCUUGGUGAGGAAAGAAUAAUAUGAGAGAAUUAAGCUUUCCAGCUUUAGAUUUCCAACCAGCAGCAUGGAGCUGUGUUUGUGGAAGAUCAUCUCUAUUCUCUUUAGAGCCGAGAGGAUAGACGCUACAAAUAGAGAGGCUUUGACUCAACAUGAAGAAAACCUUGAUAAAUUGAGUGAUUUAUAUAAAGUUGUAAAAUCCCCAUCACCGAAAUAUUUAAGAACUUUUGCACAUUUGGUUGAGUAAAAUGCUUAAGGAUUUUCAGAAAAGAUUUAUGAGAAUUUUGCUUGUGACCAAUGACCUUUUCAGUUAUCCUCUAGGAUAAUUUUGAAAUUUCAGAUGGCUGAUUUAUAGUGCUUAGUUUGGGACUAAUGUUUUUCUUCUGAUAAUACCCAAAAUGCCUUUUCUGCUAGGGAGAAUAUUCUGAGCCAUCCUCUUACUUUCUCACAGUUAGUGAGUGUGGGCCUGAACAAUUUAUUUUGUACUUAAGUGAAACACACUCUGGAAGAAAAUGAAAUAGAAUUCUAAAUACAUAUUAAAUUCUAAAGUGGAUCCUUCUUUUAAAAAAUGUCACUGUGAUGGAUGAUAUUUUCAGGAUUGUUCCCUUUCAUUUACACAAUUAUUUGACAGUUGAUUUUCAGCAUUCAAUGUCUAUUAUGGCCAUUGUCUGAUAUUUAUGGAGCGGUUCUCUUUAUGGGAUUAUUCUUUCACAUUUGGCACAUCGAAAAUACUUUUUUGUAUCUGUCUUAAAUUAUAAAUGCUUAAUUAAAGACUGAAAAUAUUUUCAGAAAGUCUGUAAGAUCUUUACCUACACAUGUACAAACACAUAUGCACAUGCACGCUAUAUAUUUUUCUUUGACACAAAGAACCAGUCCACCAAUAGAUAGCCUUCCUGAAUUCAGGGUUUGUUUUAAUAAAAUAAUUCUCUGUACAAAUAAUGGGACAUUUGGGAAAGUUCAUGUUCUUAAUUUCCUGACAAAUUCAGCAAGAAAAAAUACAGUGGCAUUUGAAAACUGCA